rnacentral:rRNA from 1 species
UAGGGAAUCUUCCGCAAUGGACGCAAGUCUGACGGAGCAACGCCGCGUGAGUGAAGAAGGUUUUCGGAUCGUAAAACUCUGUUGUAAGAGAAGAACAAAUUGUAGAGUAACUGCUACAGUCUUGACGGUACCUAACCAGAAAGCCACGGCUAACUACGUGCCAGCAGCCGCGGUAAUACGUAGGUGGCAAGCGUUGUCCGGAAUUAUUGGGCGUAAAGCGCGCGCAGGUGGUUUAGAAAGUCUGAUGUGAAAGCCCACGGCUCAACCGUGGAGGGUCAUUGGAAACUAAUAAACUUGAGUGCAGGAGAGAAAAGUGGAAUUCCUAGUGUAGCGAUGAAAUGCGUAGAGAUUAGGAGGAACACCGGUGGCGAAAGCGGCUUUUUGGCCUGCAACUGACACUGAGGCGCGAAAGCGUGGGGAGCAAACAGG